GAAAGGCCAAUCAAACCGGGAGAUAGCUGGUUCUCCCCGAAAGCUAUUUAGGUAGCGCCUCGUGAAUUCAUCUCCGGGGGUAGAGCACUGUUUCGGCAAGGGGGUCAUCCCGACUUACCAACCCGAUGCAAACUGCGAAUACCGGAGAAUGUUAUCACGGGAGACACACGGCGGGUGCUAACGUCCGUCGUGAAGAGGGAAACAACCCAGACCGCCAGCUAAGGUCCCAAAGUCAUGGUUAAGUGGGAAACGAUGUGGGAAGGCCCAGACAGCCAGGAUGUUGGCUUAGAAGCAGCCAUCAUUUAAAGAAAGCGUAAUAGCUCACUGGUCGAGUCGGCCUGCGCGGAAGAUGUAACGGGGCUAAACCAUGCACCGAAGCUGCGGCAGCGACACUAUGUGUUGUUGGGUAGGGGAGCGUUCUGUAAGCCUGUGAAGGUGGCCUGUGAGGGUUGCUGGAGGUAUCAGAAGUGCGAAUGCUGACAUAAGUAACGAUAAAGCGGGUGAAAAGCCCGCUCGCCGGAAGACCAAGGGUUCCUGUCCAACGUUAAUCGGGGCAGGGUGAGUCGACCCCUAAGGCGAGGCCGAAAGGCGUAGUCGAUGGGAAACAGGUUAAUAUUCCUGUACUUGGUGUUACUGCGAAGGGGGGACGGAGAAGGCUAUGUUGGCCGGGCGACGGUUGUCCCGGUUUAAGCGUGUAGGCUGGUUUUCCAGGCAAAUCCGGAAAAUCAAGGCUGAGGCGUGAUGACGAGGCACUACGGUGCUGAAGCGACAAAUGCCCUGCUUCCAGGAAAAGCCUCUAAGCAUCAGGUAACAUCAAAUCGUACCCCAAACCGACACAGGUGGUCAGGUAGAGAAUACCAAGGCGCUUGAGAGAACUCGGGUGAAGGAACUAGGCAAAAUGGUGCCGUAACUUCGGGAGAAGGCACGCUGAUAUGUAGGUGAAGCGACUUGCUCGUGGAGCUGAAAUCAGUCGAAGAUACCAGCUGGCUGCAACUGUUUAUUAAAAACACAGCACUGUGCAAACACGAAAGUGGACGUAUACGGUGUGACGCCUGCCCGGUGCCGGAAGGUUAAUUGAUGGGGUUAGCGGUAACGCGAAGCUCUUGAUCGAAGCCCCGGUAAACGGCGGCCGUAACUAUAACGGUCCUAAGGUAGCGAAAUUCCUUGUCGGGUAAGUUCCGACCUGCACGAAUGGCGUAAUGAUGGCCAGGCUGUCUCCACCCGAGACUCAGUGAAAUUGAACUCGCUGUGAAGAUGCAGUGUACCCGCGGCAAGACGGAAAGACCCCGUGAACCUUUACUAUAGCUUGACACUGAACAUUGAGCCUUGAUGUGUAGGAUAGGUGGGAGGCUUUGAAGUGUGGACGCCAGUCUGCAUGGAGCCGACCUUGAAAUACCACCCUUUAAUGUUUGAUGUUCUAACGUGGGCCCCUUACCGGGGUUGCGGACAGUGUCUGGUGGGUAGUUUGACUGGGGCGGUCUCCUCCUAAAGAGUAACGGAGGAGCACGAAGGUUGGCUAAUCCUGGUCGGACAUCAGGAGGUUAGUGCAAUGGCAUAAGCCAGCUUGACUGCGAGCGUGACGGCGCGAGCAGGUGCGAAAGCAGGUCAUAGUGAUCCGGUGGUUCUGAAUGGAAGGGCCAUCGCUCAACGGAUAAAAGGUACUCCGGGGAUAACAGGCUGAUACCGCCCAAGAGUUCAUAUCGACGGCGGUGUUUGGCACCUCGAUGUCGGCUCAUCACAUCCUGGGGCUGAAGUAGGUCCCAAGGGUAUGGCUGUUCGCCAUUUAAAGUGGUACGCGAGCUGGGUUUAGAACGUCGUGAGACAGUUCGGUCCCUAUCUGCCGUGGGCGCUGGAGAACUGAGGGGGGCUGCUCCUAGUACGAGAGGACCGGAGUGGACGCAUCACUGGUGUUCGGGUUGUCAUGCCAAUGGCACUGCCCGGUAGCUAAAUGCGGAAGAGAUAAGUGCUGAAAGCAUCUAAGCACGAAACUUGCCCCGAGAUGAGUUCUCCCUGACUCCUUGAGAGUCCUGAAGGAACGUUGAAGACGACGACGUUGAUAGGCCGGGUGUGUAAGCGCAGCGAUGCGUUGAGCUAACCGGUACUAAUGAACCGUGAGGCUUAACCUU
rnacentral:rRNA from 2 species